UCUACAUACUAGCGAGACACCCCACAUGUCCUCCAAAUGGUAAGCAUGAUAUACAUUAGAGGCGAUCACACAAGAGAAAGAGAAACCCCAUAAGUCAUGGACUUAUGGGUUUUCAUAUCCGAAUAGAAUUAAAGGAUUUAUUUACCAACAAUAUCUCUGGCUGCUUAUUAUUCUACUGAAGGCCAUGACUUGAUUGUAUUUUGUUUCUCUAUUGUCAAUGGUUUUUUCGUAUUUGUUUACAACUUAAUGAUGGAUUCAAGUGAAGAUGACGUUGCUCAACAAUAUAAACGCAAAAGAGGGCAUACAAACGUACAGAAAUACAAGAAUGCAGUUAUAAAGAAAGCAAGACUGACAGGUGAAGCAUAUAUUAACUGUUCUGGAAAAUAUAUUGCUGCCAAGACUCCAGAUGCAGGCGAAAAUGCUACACUGUGAUAUCAAAGCAGGAACAAGUGAUAAUGUCUAAAUUUCACAGUUUCGAGACAAAGAACGAGCAGGAUAGCUAUUUACAGAGUUUGAUAUCUACUACCAAAGUGCAUCGGCGCAGACGACGCAAGAGAGCAGAAGAAUCAUCAAACCUUCACGAGGUUGUACUUUUGUUUAUGAAAUCUCAACAUCUUCAGGCAAGUACCGAGUGUACAAAAAAGCUUUUGUAAAUAUGCAUGGAAUAACAUGAUAGAGUGCGUAGACUGUCGUCAUUACUUUGUGAAGGCAAAUCGUCACAAGACAAACGUGGGCUUAAUGUUCCUGGGAAUGCAAAAUCAGGCACUGUUAUUGAUGCUGUUAAAUUACAUAUUGCCUCCGUUCCUGUUAAGACAUAUCAUUACAGUGCCCGGGAAUAUAAUUAUUUGGAUGCGAAACUUAAUGUUAAGAUCAUGCACUCUUUGUACAGACGUGACUGUCCUGGUCAAACAGUAAGUUAUGAUUACUACUUGAAAAUUUUCAAAGAAAAUUUCUCCUUGUCUUUUGGCCGUCCGCAAGUUGAUAAAUGCUGUAGUGUGUUUUUUAUCGAUAGUCUAAAAGAUGGGAGUGCUUUUUUUUUGUUUACCAUGAAGGAGUGGCAGGAAAAGGGCCUAAUGAGGUCUGCACAUUCUUAAUGAGAUGCAUUGAAUCAGCUGUAAGAAAAAGUGUGAAGCAUUUUCACAUUUUUUCAGAUGGUUGUGGAGCACAGAAUGGAAAUCACACUAUACCUAAUCAGACUCUUUUCAACAUUGACUACCACAGGCAGAUUCGAAACAGUAGAUCAAUAUUACCCAAUGAGGGGUCACAGUUUUUUGCCGUGUGAUCGGGAUUUUGCCAUACUGAAAAGAAAAAUCUAACGAAGAGAUCGGGUGUAUAUGGUUAAGGAAUACAUGGAAAUCAUGCUCAACUCUUCCAAUAAACAGGCAUUCCUGGCAUUAUUGAUUGAAGAUUCAACUGAAAUCAUUGACUUCAAAAGUUGGUGGCCAUUCUACUUUAAGAAAUCAAUGUUGUCUGCAGAAUCUGCAGAAAGAAGCAUACCUAAGGAUCGAAAAAUAACUUUGCAGCCGUCAAAGUUCAUGCACUUCUCACACACAAGUACUACACCCGGUGUAGUAUUGGCUAGGGACUAUAUUAAUGGACUGUUGACAAGUACAUUCCACAUUCGCAACACAAGGAAGGGAAUGAUUGCCCUCCCGACAACUACUGCCUAUCCUGCUGGGAAACGUCCUAUUCAGAGGAAAAUAUGGAGGAUCUGCAGAAAUUGAGUAUGUACCUACCUCAUGAUGUGAAUGUACAGCAGUGCUAUCAACAUCUUUUCGACUGGCCUACAUGCGAUAAGGAUGUCUCUGAUGUUGCAUGAAACAUUAUAAUGUAGCCAACAGUGAAGAAAUUUUUUUAACAUGUUAUGAUGGGUUUUGAGGGUUUCCUGUAAGAGUAAUGUUAUAUUCAAAACAAUGUCAUUUGGAUAAAGUUUUUGUAUGCAUGUAUUUUGUCUUAUACAUUUUGUUUGUACAUUAGUAACUCAAACUAACAAGUUAUAUAAUAAACACUGCCAUCUCUUACUUCGUAAAACCCCAAAAUUGUACCCAAUAUCCUAUAAGAUUGAGUAAACCCAUAAGUCCAUGACUUUUAAUAAUUUUUAUUUAAAAAUCCAUUACAUUUAUGCAAAAUUAUUUUAUUGUAUAGGUUGGGUAACAAUACUAAAUUAAUUAUCACUUUCAUAAAA